AUUGAACGCUGGCGGCAUGCUUUACACAUGCAAGUCGAACGGCAGCGCGGGGGCAACCCUGGCGGCGAGUGGCGAACGGGUGAGUAAUGCAUCGGAACGUAUCCUGUAAUGGGGGGAUAACGUAGCGAAAGUUACGCUAAUACCGCAUACGCUCGAGAGAGGAAAGUGGGGGAUCGCAAGACCUCACGUUAUAGGAGCGGCCGAUGUCCGAUUAGCUAGUUGGUGGGGUAAAGGCCUACCAAGGCGACGAUCGGUAGCUGGUCUGAGAGGAUGAUCAGCCACACUGGGACUGAGACACGGCCCAGACUCCUACGGGAGGCAGCAGUGGGGAAUAUUGGACAAUGGGCGAAAGCCUGAUCCAGCAAUGCCGCGUGGUGAAGACGGCCUGCGGGUUGUAAAGCCCUUUAGGUGGGGAGGAAAGGCGGACGGUGAACAGCGUUUCGCACUGACGUUACCCACGGAAUAAGCUACCGGCUAACUCCGUGCCAGCAGCCGUCGGAAACUGUACG
rnacentral:rRNA from 1 species